GUGGGGAAUAUUGCGCAAUGGGGGAAACCCUGACGCAGCGACGCCGUGUGAGGGAAGAAGGCUUUCGGGUCGUAAACCUCUGUCAGGAAGGAAGAACCUCUCAAGGCUGAGCAAGCCUUGGGACUGACGGUACUUCCAGAGGAAGCACCGGCUAACUCCGUGCCAGCAGCCGCGGUAAUACGGAGGGUGCAAGCGUUAAUCGGAAUCAAUGGGCGUAAAGCGCGCGUAGGCCGUCUUUUAAGUCGGACGUGAAAGCCCUCGGCUCAACCGGGGAACUGCGUGCGAUACUGGGAGACUUGAGGCCUGGAGAGGGUGGCGGAAUUCCGGGUGUAGGAGUGAAAUCCGUAGAUAUCCGGAGGAACACCGGUGGCGAAGGCGGCCACCUGGACAGGUACUGACGCUGAGGCGCGAAAGCGUGGGGAGCAAACAGGAUUAGAAACCCUAGUAGUCC
rnacentral:rRNA from 1 species